CAGUCGCGUUCUCUGGGAUUCAGCCUUGCUUCUUGCUUGGUGCAUUUCCUUUCCGAUGGGUCAGCAUCAGUUUUGACCAAGGGAAAAAGACAUUUGGAAUGUGGCUGUCUUCGGGCAGUGUUAUAGCCUUGUGUUGUAUGUCUUGGUUGGGACUGAGGAACGCAGCGCGCCAUUUUGGCCGGGGUCGCGUCCUCUCGACACGCGCUUAGGAUGCUGGCAUAAUGGCUUUAAGCGGCCCGUCUUGAAACACGGACCAAGGACGUCUAACAUAUAUGCGAGUGUU
rnacentral:rRNA from 1 species